CUGAGAGCAACCCGGAGAACACAAUAUCCACAAGUGACGAGCCUGACAAAGUUGAUCCAACUUUUGGUGGAAUCGCCAAGGGGGUUGAAGCGGUUUUGCAGAGGCUGAAGAUCAUUAAGCAAGAAAUCAGAGACUUGAAACAGGAGAUCCAAGGACUGAGAUAUUACGAGCAUAGACUACUUGCUGAGCUUCAUCGCAAAGUGAAUUACCUCGUGACAUACAACGUUCAAAUCGAAGGAAGUGCCGAAUAUGUUCUACUUUGUUAGAACAGAAAAUUACUCGAGGAGAUUGAUCACCAACAUGGUUCCCG
rnacentral:lncRNA from 1 species